rnacentral:rRNA from 1 species
AAUUGGAGGGCAAGUCUGGUGCCAGCAGCCGCGGUAAUUCCAGCUCCAAUAGCGUAUAUUAAAGUUGUUGCAGUUAAAAAGCUCGUAGUUGAAUUUCGGGGUUCUACCGUUGGUCGGGCAAUUGUCUGUACUGGCGUGUGGAAUUUCUACCUUCUGGGGAACCAUCAUGUUAUUAAUUUAGCGUGAUGGGAAACCAGGACCUUUACCUUGAAAAAAUUAGAGUGUUCAAAGCAGGCUUACGUCUGAAUACAUUAGCAUGGAAUAAUAAAAUAGGACGGUGGUCCUGUUUUGUUGGUUUCUGAAUCACCGUAAUGAUUAAUAGGGAUAGUUGGGGGCAUUAGUAUUCAAUUGUCAGAGGUGAAAUUCUUGGAUUUAUUGAAGACUAACUUCUGCGAAAGCAUUUGCCAAGGAUGUUUUCAUUAAUCAAGAACGAAAGUUAGGGGAUCGAAGACGAUCAGAUACCGUCGUAGUCUUAACCAUAAACUAUGCCGACUAGGGAUCGGACGAUGUUAAUUUUUCUUGACUCGUUCGGCGCCUUACGGGAAACCAAAGUGU